rnacentral:rRNA from 1 species
GAUGAACGCUAGCGGCAGGCUUAAUACAUGCAAGUCGAGGGGCAGCACAGGUAGCAAUACUGGGUGGCGACCGGCAAACGGGUGCGGAACACGUACACAACUUACCUUAAGGUGGGGGAUAGCCCAGGGAAACUUGGAUUAAUACCCCAUAAUACAGGGGGCCCGCAUGGGUCUAUUGUUAAAGAUUUACUGCCUUAAGAUGGGUGUGCGUCUGAUUAGGUAGUUGGUGAGGUAAGGGCUCACCAAGCCAACGAUCAGUAACUGGUGUGAGAGCACGACCAGUCACACGGGCACUGAGACACGGGCCCGACUCCUACGGGAGGCAGCAGUAAGGAAUAUUGGUCAAUGGACGGAAGUCUGAACCAGCCAUGCCGCGUGAAGGAUGAAGGUCCUCUGGAUUGUAAACUUCUUUUAUAGGGGGCGAAAAAGGGCCUUUUGAGGUCAACUGACGGUACCCUAUGAAUAAGCACCGGCUAACUCCGUGCCAGCCGCCGCUGUAACAC